rnacentral:rRNA from 1 species
AUUGAACGCUGGCGGCAUGCCUUACACAUGCAAGUCGAACGGCAGCACGGGAGCUUGCUCCUGGUGGCGAGUGGCGAACGGGUGAGUAAUACAUCGGAGCGUACCCAGGAGUGGGGGAUAACGUAGCGAAAGUUACGCUAAUACCGCAUAUUCUGUGAGCAGGAAAGCGGGGGAUCGCAAGACCUCGCGCUCUUGGAGCGGCCGAUGUCGGAUUAGCUAGUUGGUGAGGUAAAGGCUCACCAAGGCGACGAUCCGUAGCAGGUCUGAGAGGAUGAUCUGCCACACUGGGACUGAGGCACGGCCCAGACUCCUACGGGAGGCAGCAGUGGGGAAUUUUGGACAAUGGGGGCAACCCUGAUCCAGCCAUGCCGCGUGAGUGAAGAAGGCCUUCGGGUUGUAAAGCUCUUUCGGCGGGGAAGAAAUGGCAACGGCUAAUAUCCGUUGUUGAUGACGGUACCCGCAUAAGAAGCACCGGCUAACUACGUGCCAGCCGCCGCAGUAACAC